rnacentral:lncRNA from 1 species
GGGGAAAAUGCUGAAAAUGGAUGUUUGAUGGAAGGGAAUCAGAAGGAUGCAAUAAUCAGUUCUGCUUCUGUUGGAGAGCAAGAAAAGAAAAGAAAGACCUCAACCCUCUUCCUUUGGAUGGAUUAUUCAGCCCAUUAAUAUUGUAUGAAAUAAUCAUUUACUGCACAUUAAUGUCCUAUAUACCAAGUCAACUGCUGAGAACACUGAAGGAUGUGCCAGAAGACUCCUGGACAUUGCUCUUGGACUUUGGGAUCACAGCUGGAAAAUUUUCAUUUCCAUGUUGCAAUUUUGAUGCCUGAGGUGGUGGCCAUCAAGCACAGGAAAGUAUCCCGUUGCCCUUUUCUCGUGUUUGUUGAUUCUUUACAGGUUGCUGAGGAAAUAGGUCUCUGCGAGAAGCAGCUAUGGUGGUAGCAGCAGCAGCAGAGCCAUCAACAGCAAGAGCUCUGAGAACUCUUCCUCACACUCUGCCAUAUGGCGGCUGUAUGGCAGAACGAAUGCAGGUCCAUGUAGACGUUGUCUUCAUCCAGUGCCCCCUUGUCAUGCAUUCACAGUGCCAUAAAACAGUGUACAGAUUUUGCCCUUGUCAAGUUGUUUUGCUGUUGUUAACAUCUUAUUGUAACAGAUUCCAGAAUUUGUGUGCUCUGUGAAAAAGGGUUUUUUGUCCUGAAAUUUCCAUUCCCUGACCUUCUCAACUAGUUUGUGUAAUUCUAUACACUUCUACUAUUUUUUCACCCUCUCCCCGUUAUUCCAAACUGAGAACUUGCUCCAGAGCCUUGAUGAGUUUGGUAGUGGCUUUUGAUAACUUUCCUAAUUGGAGCUGUGGUAGCCAGAAAUGUACCCGUUCUAGAUCUCUGUAGCAUCCUCAUCUUUGGCUCCACGUUUACAGCUUUAGUUUUGCUGCUGAUGGAAGAUGUUUGAAAGACAAAGCCUGGCAAACCAUUUCAGCAGUCUAUUUAACAGAAUGUUUUAUGAGUGUUUCUGGAAUUUAGGAUAGAAAUGUGCACAGAUGGUGUUGAUAAUAUAAAUCAGACAAGUUGUUUUCCCUAAAGGCUAUGCAAGCAGUAUACAGUAGGCUUGUAUGAUGAUGUUUGGGUCAUGUUAACUGGAACGACAAUCAAAACUUGGAAAAAUAUAAAAUCAUAAGGCUGUUUUCCAUAGCCAUAUGGUGUGGAAUUUUUCAAAUACUUUCCAGAGGUGUAGUUGUGUUCCACCAGAGCCAAACAAACAAAAUCAUGUGAAAUGUUUAUCAUUGAGUAGGUUUUUGUGGGCCAGAGACCAUCUUGUCAGUUGUGUUUUAAGAGAAUGUUGAUUCUUACUUUCUUGUAAAGGAAGAAUAAAA